rnacentral:rRNA from 1 species
ACGCUGGCGGCAGGCCUAACACAUGCAAGUCGAGCGGUAGAGAGAAGCUUGCUUCUCUUGAGAGCGGCGGACGGGUGAGUAAUGCCUAGGAAUCUGCCUGGUAGUGGGGGAUAACGUUCGGAAACGGACGCUAAUACCGCAUACGUCCUACGGGAGAAAGCAGGGGACCUUCGGGCCUUGCGCUAUCAGAUGAGCCUAGGUCGGAUUAGCUAGUUGGUGAGGUAAUGGCUCACCAAGGCGACGAUCCGUAACUGGUCUGAGAGGAUGAUCAGUCACACUGGAACUGAGACACGGUCCAGACUCCUACGGGAGGCAGCAGUGGGGAAUAUUGGACAAUGGGCGAAAGCCUGAUCCAGCCAUGCCGCGUGUGUGAAGAAGGUCUUCGGAUUGUAAAGCACUUUAAGUUGGGAGGAAGGGUUGUAGAUUAAUACUCUGCAAUUUUGACGUUACCGACAGAAUAAGCACCGGCUAACUCUGUGCCAGCAGCCGCGGUAAUACAGAGGGUGCAAGCGUCAAUCGGAAUUACUGGGCGUAAAGCGCGCGUAGGUGGUUUGUUAAGUUGGAUGUGAAAUCCCCGGGCUCAACCUGGGAACUGCAUUCAAAACUGACUGACUAGAGUAUGGUAGAGGGUGGUGGAAUUUCCUGUGUAGCGGUGAAAUGCGUAGAUAUAGGAAGGAACACCAGUGGCGAAGGCGACCACCUGGACUAAUACUGACACUGAGGUGCGAAAGCGUGGGGAGCAAAC